CAUGUGCCCACAAGUCCCAUGACUUAAUUCUUAUGAUGUUUUUAAUUCUAUAAUUGCAGAUAGACACUGAUGAAAAUUCAACCGGUGUGUCAUCAGCACAGUCACCAAAGGAACCACAACACGAGGACUCUAGCAAUCUGAAGCCUGGUCACCACAAGGACUCACCACCUCAUGUGGUUGGGGACUCUGGCUUCGCAACCCAAAAAUGACACAAUUUCAAUGCUGGUGGCUCCAUCUUCACUGGGAUUAAAUAUUAUCCUUGAUGGCCA